UUUAUCGUUCUAAUUAAUAAAUAAAUUAAAAUAAAAUAAAUUACAAACGUUUUGACUGUACAUAGUCUUCUUUAGUGUAAAUUAACAUAUCGACUAAUACGAAAAUAAAUGAUACCGUGAGAAUACAUUCAUUAAGACAAUAACAAUGCAUUGUGUAUAUAAUAACAAUAUUGAUAAAAUCAACUUAUUUAAACGUUAUGACAAGCAUCAAUUGUUUUCAUGUUUAAGUACAAUCUAGAAAUCUUUUUUUGACUGCAUUCACUCCUUAGGAUAUACCAUAUAUGGAGGAAAGAAUUCUUUUCUGAUUCCAUCGUUGAAAAGCGUGGAAUUAUCCGAGAUUCCAAUUAUUAUUUUUGAAGCUUUCGCGGCCAUUGGAAUUAUCAAUGCAAAAGGUUUUCGGAUGGAUGCCGCGUGAUUGAACAGCUUAAUGCCGACGUUUUGCAAACAUUGCAGUUUGCAUCUUCAGAAAAUAGAAAUAAAACAGAAUAAGCAGCUCCUCUUUCUAGACGUGUUAAUUAAAAAGAACGAAGACGACACCUUAAGCCAUCGGGUUUAUUAAAAACCAACACAUACGGAUCGUUACUUCCAUGCCAUUUCUCAUCAUCACCCGACUUAGAAGAAUUCUGUCAUCGGUUCAUUAAUAUACAGAGCCUUAACAAUUUCUUAAUCAACUUCCCUGAAUGAAGAAUUAGAACAUUUCAACCAAGUCUUGACCAAGAAUAGAUACAACAGCAAAAACAUCAAUCGAACUGAAAGGCUGAAAAACUAAAUCCAGUAUUCAGUUCUACAAAUAUUGCUACAUUGAAUGAAUAAGAAGAUAAAAAAUGAACGAUCCUUUCGUAUCUUGUGACGUGGCGUUUUUUGGUGAGCGCCGUCACAAGGGCUAUCAUCUGGCCGAGGGGAAAAACUGUCCUGGGGGUCGUCCCUCAUUCCUUGGGGAAAAACAACCCCGCGUUACCGAUUUGAGUCUUAUUUCGUUAUAAAUUAUUUUUGUUUGAGUCAGUAAACAGCCAUCGAAGGUCGUAACGAUUAUCUGAGUGCGGUGAGAUUCUAACUAAGUAAGAUACUAAUUGUAUAGCAAGUUACCGAGGAAUAAGAAGAGGGAGUCAAAGGACGAUUACCGUGUCAAGGAUGGAUUCCGGGAGCCAAGGUCAUGUAUCGCGUUCCCGCUGAUCACGCUAUUCCCCAUAUUGCGUAUCGAAUUAACGAUCCUCCCUAAUUUCAGCAAGCUAUCACCGGGCUAUCAGCGUGGAUCAUACCUUGCUGCAGAAUGGGUAGACCCCGCGGAUUCGUAUAUACCACGUCAGAAGAGGCCUGGAAGACGGCCCGGUCAGCUGAUCUAGAGCCUACCCCUGGAUACCGUGUACCGGCUAACAUCAGCGACAACAGGGAAUGUCAAUCAGAAAUCGAUGGGCAGAUUGAAUCAACCUCCUCCCCCUCACCAGCCAACUAUUGAGGGGAUGCGCAAAGAAUCAGCGCGGAGCGCGAAGGACCUCACGACGCUCCAGGAGAGGAUUAUUGUUCGGCACAACGUAAACUGGAAAAGAUGACUCCUCAGGACGACCCUGAACACUCCGCCUAUGAAGAUUAAACUGUAAACCGCCACUCAGACAAGUCGUGUAAAAUGUAUAAAUCCAAGUUAGACUGGGGUCGUAACUCGAGGAUAUCGGGUACCGGUGUGGAGUAAUUACCAUUUUUCCUGUUAUUAUACAUCUUUUCUCUAUUAGAGUGUAGUUACCGCGAGAUCAGCCUAUCUCGGAAUUCGCGAAUGUAUCCCUCCCAGGACUGCCGUCCGGCAGUCGUAUCGUUUAACGUAUCGUUUAUCGUUUUGUAUCGUUUCGUAUGAGAACGUGUAAAUCGUUGAGAGCCGGAAUUCGCGCACAGGCGUUCUCCGCGAAUAAAGUGUCGUAGUUAAGCCUCUGCGAGAAUCAUUCGGAUUUGCGAAAUUACCGCGUGAUCCUCCAUUACCGUUCGUAUAUCAAAAAUCGGAUUCAGUCGUUUUGUUGUUCUAUUACGGAGUUAUUUUGGUUAAUCAAUGUAAAACAUACUUGCAAUAUUAAUAAGAAUAUUUGUCAGUCAGCUCU